rnacentral:rRNA from 1 species
GACGAACGCUGGCGGCGUGCCUAAUACAUGCAAGUAGAACGCAGUUGCGAACGGGUGAGUAACGCGUAGGUAACUGCCUCAUAGAGGGGGAUAACUAUUGGAAACGAUAGAUAAUACCGCAUACUGUGAGAUGUACCUGCGUUGUAUUAGCUAGUUGGUGAGGUAAAGGAUCACCAAGGCGACGAUCCAUAGCCGGCCUGUGAGGGUUACGCGCCACACGUGUACCGAGACCCGGCCCAGACCCCCUCGGGAGGCAGCAGUAGGGAAUCUUCUGCAAUGGACCGAAGGCUGACUCAGCAACGCCGCGGGAGUUAAGAAGGUCUUCGGAUCGUAAAGCUCUUUUGUUAGAGAAGCGGUACCUAACCAGAAAGCGACGGCUAACUACGUGCCAGCCGCCGCGGUAAUAC